GUUUGAUCAUGGCUCAGAGUGAACGCUGGCGGCAGGCCUAAUACAUGCAAGUCGAACGGCAGCACAGCAGAGCUUGCUCUGUGGGUGGCGAGUGGCGGACGGGUGAGGAAUACAUGGGAAUCUGCCCAGUCGUGGGGAUAACGAAGGGAAACUUACGCUAAUACCGCAUGCGCCCUUCGGGGAAAGCCGGGGACCUUCGGGCCUGGCGCGAUUGGAUGAGCCCAUGUCGGAUUAGCUAGUUGGCGGGGUAAUGGCCCACCAAGGCGACGAUCCGUAGCUGGUCUGAGAGGAUGAUCAGCCACACUGGAACUGAGACACGGUCCAGACUCCUACGGGAGGCAGCAGUAGGGAAUAUUGGACAAUGGGCGCAAGCCUGAUCCAGCCAUGCCGCGUGAGUGAAGAAGGCCCUCGGGUUGUAAAGCUCUUUUGUCCGGAAAGAAAAGCGCCGGGUUAAUACCCUGGUGUCCUGACGGUACCGGAAGAAUAAGCACCGGCUAACUUCGUG
rnacentral:rRNA from 1 species